rnacentral:tRNA from 1 species
AGGAUGUUUUCUCGGCCUGGCCCUGAAUCGUUUUCCGGCUCCCGCCCGAAGCCGCUCGGCACCGGGCAAGCGGU